GUCAGCGCUCAUCCAGGAAUAUUCAAGUUUUUUGUAGUUUCACGCGUCGAGUCAUUCCCUAGUUUCAGACCGCGCUGUCGCCGGAGAAACGUUACUUACAACAGCGCGCACCGGGACCAGUGUUUCCUAUUAAAGAACGUUCUGUUCUCUUCACAGGUUACUGGGAGGUGAACGGCUUUGGCCUGUUUGGAAUCUACAAGUCUGAUUUUGAGAAGAUUGGAGGAAUGAACACGGAGGAAUUCAAAGACCGCUGGGGUGGAGAGGACUGGGAGCUGCUGGACAGGGUACUGCAGAACGGUUUAGAGGUAGAGAGACUGCGUUUGAGGAACUUCUUCCACUACUACCACUCCAAACGGGGCAUGUGGAAUGCGCAGAAUAAGAAAACUCCGAAGGGAUAGCGCCCCCUUCUGGCGUGAGGAUUCUGAAUCUACCUGCAGAUCCACAACGUGUGAGAGAGCGAGGGACCCGUAGGAGCUCGCUCACUGCCUGAACUCCUUUCAGGGAUGCCUUUGCUUCUCCAUCAGCUCCUCUUGUAAACUUGUAAACCCACGAGGAAACAAGGAGUCUAAAUCUGAACUUUAAAAGCCGGCCGUUUACGCAGAUCGACCUGAGUCGUCACUUCAGCCUCACUGACUGAACUACUGUACAGAGAGAAGUAUUGUUCUUCUGCUUCUCUCUGUCCUUUUUUUGGUGCAAUGUUUUCAGACAGACUGGAAAAUAGCUGUGUGUGUGUAUAUAUAUAUAUAUAUAUACAUACAUAUAGUUGUAUGUGAGUGUGUCGCCGCUUGCGUGUGCUUAAGAUGACAGAAAGCACCUUUUUUCUAACCAGGAGAUGUGAUGGCAACCUAAGAUCUUUUUUUCUAACACGCUCUCUCGUGAGGGCCCAAUAGAAUGUGUGUCGACGUGUUACUCAAAUACAUCCGGACGCGGUGGAGUAGGUUUCCGUCGUAGACGAACUGUGUCUUUGGUAAAAUAGUUUCUAAAUACAUCAACCUCUACCUGUUGGAUAGAAUUAUGACCAAGGUGCUGCAUUCUCCUGAUAUUGACAAAGAAAAGUUGUGGAUCAGAAAAGCCCCUCAAAAGGAUGAUGACAGAUUUGUCAUCUUUAUAUCUAUUUCUGUCCCUUUAUCCCUCCGUAUUCUUUUUUUUAUCUACAACUCAUUGCAGCCCUCUUUCUGUUUCAAUGUCAUGCAAAUUUGUGUAUUUGCGUUUUAUGUUCUACACCUAGCUAUCGGAUACAAUUGAUUCAAUUUUGUUUCGUUAACUUCGUUAAUAAUUGAUAUCAUUUUCUGCUAUUAUUAUUUCGGUAUUUGUCCUCACUGAGUCUGGACGCACUAACAUUUGGGGUGCUAUUUCCUGUUCUAAAACACUGAAUUUGUAAACGGUUUACCUAUUUCAACUCUACUGACAGAAUCCUUCAUUCCCUCCACGUGUUUAACCUCAUUGUCACUGGAACAUAAAACUUUAUUAGGAGAACAGCAGCGGCAGCUUUUGGCAUUACAUUUCACAUUGUCACGCACGCUAUCUUUUUCUCAUGUUAAAGAAAUAGCACAGAGACGGGGGAUGCUUAGCUACGGAGAAACAUUUACAUUUACUCUGCUUUAAAGCUUGUAUGAAGCUCAAACAGAAGCGGGAUCGGUUCAUGUGUUGGGACACAAGGUGGCAAGGCAUGGUGGUUUCACAAAUGUGUGCCUUUAUCAGGGUUUGGCUGCAGGCAGUUUUUAAACUACUUUAAUGACAGAAGAGGGCAGCGACAGACGGGAAUCAUUGAGGUUAUUUAUUAGCAGGCUGUAAUGUCAUUGUAAAUUCAGAUAAACUCUAAAAGAAGGAAACACGGUUCUCUUCAGCGGAUUACAAAGACGCGUCGGUGUGUUUUUGUGGAAUUACCUUAGAAGCAGGAAGGAGGGGUCUAUCAAGCCAGUUGCCCUUUUGGUGAGAUAUGCGGACAUGGUACUUGACUACUGAGUGAAAUCCGGAGGUGUGAUGGAGACUCACUGGCAGCUGCACUUCAGCGGGACCCCACCUGCUCCCAUUCGUUUUGGCCGGAGGCCGGGCCCCUAAUGCCUCUGUUUAUGCAACACGGUACUUCUAUUGAUGGAGAGUGGCUUGAGGGCUCAAGGCUGGACACACAUAUGGAGGAAAGUUAAUGAUCUGUUGUUGACUAUAUGAUUGUCAAAAUGCCCUCCAAGACCCUUUCUUUGCCUCUACAGGAAGAGUCUACUGUACGUCAUUUAACAUUGACAUGGGACUAUUUAAAGAAUCACAUUAAAUAUAUAUGUAUAUAUAUAUAUAUAUGUAUGUAUAUGUAUAUAUAUGUAUGUAUAUGUAUAUGUAUAUAUUAAAUAUACAUAUGUGUACAUAUAUUUAUGAAACAUAACAUAACAUGGAAAAUAGGAAUAUACAUUCCAAGGUAAUUUCUGUGAAAUUGUUUUGUAGAGAAAAGGUUUUAAGAAUGUAUUGUAAUUUUUAUUUUAAUUUGUUGGGGUUUUUUGCAAAUAAAAUUUUAUGCUUACGUCCAGGUAA
ensembl:lncRNA